rnacentral:lncRNA from 1 species
UUGGUUUCCUUGGAUAUUGCCUUGGAAAACCCCCUGAUUACUCACAUAGUUUGCCUCAGCAUCAGCACCUGCAGGUACAAUACCUUGAGAUCCACAACCUUGACCAUUUCAGUCUUGUCGGAUAGCAAGUGCUUAGCCAGCACCAUCUGCGUCUUCAAAUGGGCCAUGUCCUGAUCUCACUCCUCAUCCCUUUUACGUUGCUCUUCAGUAAUACCA